rnacentral:tRNA from 1 species
GGAGAAUACGGCUAAUGGUUAGCAAAUCGUCUUGAAAACGAUCGCGGUUUUCAACCUGGAGGUUCGAUUCCUCUAUUCUCCG